GCAUAUCAAUAAGCGGAGGAAAAGAAAAUAACAAUGAUUCCCCUAGUAACUGCGAGUGAAGAGGGACAAGCUCAAAUUUUAAAUCUAUCGGAUUUUACCUGAUCGAGUUGUAAUUUGAAGAUAGCGUCUUCUGCGUAUUUGGUCAGCCCAAGUCCUAUUGAAUGAGGCAUCAUGGAGGGUGAUAAUCCCGUCCGGUUGAUCAUUUGCGUUUCACGAUACGCUUUCUAAGAGUCAAGUUGUUUGGGAUUGCAGCUUAAAAUGGGAGGUAAAUUUCUCCUAAGGCUAAAUAAUGGCGAGAGACCGAUAGCGAACAAGUACCGUGAGGGAAAGAUAAAAAGAACUUUGAAAAGAGAGUUAAACAGUACGUGAAAUUGUUGAAAGGGAAACGAUUGAAGCCAGUCGUACUUUCAGGUAAUCAGCCUUUCGGGUGCGAUUCUGUGGAGUGUAAGGAGCUUAACACCUUCAUGCUUUGCAUAUUUGUGCUCUUGGGUGUACUUGCCCGUGUGGUUGGUUAACAUCAAUUUUGGUGGUCAUAAAAUGACUGGAGGAAUGUAGCUUCGAUCUCGUAUUGAAGUGUUAUAGCCUUCGGUAGAUGUGAUGAUCAAGAUUGAGGAUUGCAACGGAUACCCUUCGGGGCUACCUGUCUGGUCUCUGAUCGUUGCUCUGGUGCCGAAAGCUUGCUUACGGUUAUCAAAGUCGAUGGUCAAUAGGUUAGAACGGGUUAAAUUCGUUAAGGAUGUUGACGUA
rnacentral:rRNA from 1 species